rnacentral:rRNA from 1 species
UACGGGGGGAGCAAGCGUUUGUUCGGAUUUACUGGGCGUAAAGGGCGCGUAGGCGGUCAGCACAAGUCAGUUGUGAAAUCUCCGGGCUUAACUCGGAAAGGUCAACUGAUACUGUGCGACUAGAGUGCAGAAGGGGCAACUGGAAUUCUCGGUGUAGCGGUGAAAUGCGUAGAUAUCGAGAGGAACACCUGCGGCGAAGGCGGGUUGCUGGGCUGACACUGACGCUGAUGCGCGAAAGCCAGGGGGAGCGAACGGG